UACGGAGGGUGCAAGCGUUAUCCGGAUUCACUGGGUUUAAAGGGUGCGUAGGCGGACAGGUAAGUCAGUGGUGAAAUCUCCGAGCUUAACUUGGAAACUGCCGUUGAUACUAUCUGCCUUGAAUAUUGUGGAGGUGAGCGGAAUAUGUCAUGUAGCGGUGAAAUGCUUAGAUAUGACAUAGAACACCAAUUGCGAAGGCAGCUCGCUACACAUAUAUUGACUCUGAGGCACGAAAGCGUGGGGAUCAAACAGG
rnacentral:rRNA from 1 species